AGUGAGGACCCCCCCUGGAUCUGACCGGGAAGGUUUUCCAAUUGGAGGCAAUGCUGAAACAGCUGCACAGCGACCUGCAGAAGGAGAAGCACGACAAAGUGGUGCUGCAGGCCGAGGUGGCCGAUCUGCGCCAGGACAACCGGCGGCUGCAGGAGGAGUCGCAGAGCGCCAGCGAGCAGCUCCGGCGCUUCGCACGGCUCUUCGCCACCAACCCCCCCCCAAAAAAGGAAGCUCUGAGCACCCAUGGGUGGGGGGGGGGGGCACGGAGACCCCCCCCACCCAACCAACCUAUGGGGGUCCUAUGAGGCCCAGAGUGGUCCUAUGGGGUUUCUAUGGGACCGGGAGCGGUGAUACGGACUGCAGCUGAGGUGCUUCGCCAGCAGCCCCCCCCCAAAAAAGGAGCUCUGAGCACCCAUGGGUGGGGGGGGGGGGCACGGAGACCCCCCCCCACCCCACCGCCCAACCCCACCCAUGGGGGUCCUGUGGGGUUUCUAUGGGACCGGGAGCAGUGAUACAGACUAUGGGACCGGGAGCUGCAGUGCUUUGUCAGUGACCCCCCCCCAAAAAGGAGCUCUGAGCACCCAUGGGUGGGGGUGGGGGGCACGGAGACCCCCCCACCCAACCAACCUAUGGGGGUCCUAUGAGGCCCAGAGUGGUUCUGUGGGGUCCUGUGGGGUUUCUAUGGGACCGGGACUGUUCGUAUGGACCAAAGCUGCACUGCUUUACUGCCACCCCCUCCCAAAAAGGAGCUCUGAGCACCCAUGGGUGGGGGGGGGGCCAUGGAGACCCCCCCGCCCCACCCCCCCACCCCCACCCAUGGGGGUCCUAUGAGGCCCAGAGUGAUUCUGUGGGGUCCUGUGGGGUUUCUAUGGGACCGGGAGUGGUGAUAUGGGCUGAAGAUGCGCCUCUUUGCUGCCCCCCCCCCAAAAAGGAGCUCUGAGCACCCAUGGGUGGGGGGGAGGGGGGGAAAUGGAGACCCCCCCCCCCCACCCAUGGGGCUCCUAUGGGGUUAUAUGGGACCGGGAGGGUUUAUAUGGGACCAAGAGCAUCUGUGUAGGACCAAAAGGAUCUAUAUGGGACCAGGAGCAUCUCUGUAAGGCCAAGGACAUAUUCCUAUAGGACCAGGAGCGUCCUAUGGGGCCAUAAGCAUCCAUAUAGGACCAGGAGCGUCCUAUGGGGCCAUAAGCAUCCAUAUGGGGCCAGGAGCGUCUCUAUAGGGCUGGGACCACUCCUAUAGGGCCGGGAGCUCCCAUAGAUGCCCAGCAGUGCUCCUAUAGGGCCAGGACUACUCCUGUGGGGCCGGGACCAUUCCUAUGGGGCCAGCAGUGCCCCUAUAGGGCCAGGCGCACCCUAUAGGACAUGGGGCACCUAUAGGGCCGCCCCCCCCCCCCCUUUGCGGUCUUCCAUCUCCGCCCCACGGCAAUAAUGGGGUUGGGGGGUCGUUCCACCCCCCCCCCCCCCCCCCCUCCGCACGACCCCAUAUAUUUUUUUCGGUGCAAAAUCCCCCAAAACGACCCCCCCUUCCCCCCCCCCCCCCCCCCCGGAGCACUUUUUUUGUCGUCGUCCUUUUGCCCCCCCCCCAAUUAAUUAAUUCCCUAAAUUAUUUCCUCAGGAAACGCGGAUCCCCCCCUCGGAAAUGCCCCAAUUCCCCGUUUUUUACCCCAUUUUUCCUCCUUUUCCCCCUCCUUUCCCCCUCCUCCCCACUUCCGCCCCAUUUCCCCCGACUUCCGCCCCCACUUCCGCCCCCCCUUCCCCCUCCCUUCCUCCAUUUCCUCUCCCCCAUUUCCACCCCCGUUUCUCCCCAAUUCCACCCCAUUUCCCCCUCACUUCCGCCUCCACUUCCUCCCCACUUCCGCCCCCCUCUCCCACUUCUGUUCCCAUUUCCUCCUCCGUUUCCCCCCUAUUUCCCCAUUUCCCCUCACACUUCCGCCCCCAUUUCCCCACUUCCUCCCAUCCCCCCACUUCAUUUCCCUCACUUCCUCCCAGUUUUCCCCCCACUUCCGCCCCCUCCCCCACUUCUGCUCCCAUUCCAUUUCCCCCUCCAUUUCCCCCCCGCUUCCCCAUUUCCCCCUCACUUCCGCCUCCACUUCCUCCCC
ensembl:lncRNA